AGGGAAACAGUUAUUUAAUAGCUUACUUUAUCCACUUGAGUAAUAAUGCUCGUCAUUUGUUUCAGCUAAAAUGUUAACUGAAAAAUUAGCCUACUUAGAUAUUAAAAAUGUUAGAAGUAUAUCUUUUAAAGUUCUAGAACAUUACCAGAAACGCUGUGGAUAAUAUGAAUUUAUUAGAAGAUUUGCGUGAAUCAAGCUCACAUGUACACGAAAAUCUGUCAAAACAAAAAAAGACUACAAAACCCCUAAUCCCCGGCUCGCGUUAGUGACGUCACCGGGAGCCCGGACCCGGCGUAGCUCUUGGUGACCAAAGCCCGUUUUGUAAAAGAGUCAGCGACGGUUCCUGACAACAGUGUCGUUGUUGUGGGCUGGGUCACAGGUGAGUCCGCCAGGCAGUAGUCGGUGGUGAUGACACCGCCGCUGUCGCUGUCGGCUGGAGGAAGAGGAAGGAGGUGAUGAUGAUGAUGAUGAUAAUAGCAGUUAGCUGGCUGCCUGGCUGACGGACGGACGGACCAGAGCCCACUGAGUGCGAGGGGCCUCCCCACAAGCGGAGCGGGAUCCGGGGCGACAGGUGGCGAAGAUGCCGCGGAGGAAACAGUCCAACCCUCAGCCGGUAAAACCCUUAAUCUGUUUGGGGCCAGGACUCAAGAAGCCCAAGAACCAGCUGUAAGAAGUUGCCGAACUGGUUCUGGUUCAGGGCGGAGCUCGGUCCCUUCCUCAUCAGUCAAAGAGGAAGACUGUGGAGACACGCUGUGUUUUAAGGACGACUGUGUCUUAUCUCAUCCUGCAUGUUGUGGCUCUCAGCUUCCUUCUGCCUGACCUUCUGCUUUCCUUCCUGCCACCGUCCGUUUCUCUCCGACCCCCCAUCUUCACAUGUGGGGGAGUCAGGUCCCAUCCCCUGCUGUUUCGGCUAAUAAAUCACCUGCUCUACACUGAAACCAGGGGAUCGGGUUUUUUUUAGGGCUCAGUAUUUGUUCUGAUACUCUGCCCUCAGCAGUGACGUUGCUGAUUCAGUGUUUUGGUUUGUGACUUUAGCACAAACUGUCUGGAAAUCCGCUGUCCCAGACCUGUAAUGUCUAAAACAUGUUGUCCAUGCGUUUAGCCAUCUGUCUAGGUCAUGUCAAAGGUUAUUUACUGAUAUAAUUGAUCAGUACAUAAAUGUUGAUAUAAUAUUAUGUAACAGCAGGUGUCGCCGUCUGAUUUGCU
rnacentral:lncRNA from 1 species